rnacentral:rRNA from 1 species
AAUAUUGCGCAAUGGAGGGAACUCUGACGCAGCGACGCCGCGUGAGCGAUGAAGGUUUUCGGAUCGUAAAGCUCUGUCCUUGGGGAAGAAGGCGGCCAUUUUUGGCCACUUGACGGUACCCAAGGAGGAAGCCCCGGCUAACUACGUGCCAGCAGCCACGGUAAUACGUAGGGGGCGAGCGUUGUCCGGAAUUACUGGGCGUAAAGGGUACGCAGGCGGCCAUGUAAGUCAGAUGUGAAAGGUCACGGCUCAACCGUGGUAAGCAUUUGAAACUGUGUGGCUUGAGUUAAGGAGAGGAAAGUGGAAUUCCUGGUGUAGCGGUGAAAUGCGUAGAUAUCAGGAGGAAUACCAGUGGCGAAGGCGACUUUCUGGACUUAAACUGACGCUGAGGUACGAAAGCGUGGGGAGCAAACA